AGUCACUUCCUGCCCCGUGGAAUUGUAGUUGCUCGUUCGCAAGGAGGCGUAAGAUAAUGAAGAAUAGAAAUAAGGAGGACGAACUUCAUGUUUCGAGAUAAGCUCAAAACCCGGUUACAGUAGUAGUUCGAAAAACAUACACCGACAGCGCUACGAUCGACAAACUGGCAUCUGGCAGUCGUGGAGUCGGGAAGAGACAGGAGGAGAUAGGAUAUGGUGGGAUAUGGGGUCUGCAGGAGGAAUUGCUCCGCGUAGCAUUUCUUUAAGCUUAGCGCACUUAUGGACCCAAGUUUUUGACACUUGGCUGUAUUGACCUGUGACAAGAGGCAGGAGCCCAUAAUUAGAAGAAGGAUUCCCAAUAUCGUGGACUUACACAGUUUCCAGAAACAUUCAAGUAUGAAAAACUCAGAUAUUGGAGUGUGUGUUAAAAAAAAUAAUGUAGGAAUUGAGGAAAAUAAGUGAGGAAUCCAAUAAUCGAUUAUUGGAUUACAGAAGUUGAAGCAAAAUUCGAAAUCUUAAAGAAUGUUUUUGAAAAUGAUAAAUAAAACUGAAAUAAGAAUAUGAAAAUAAUAUGUAUACAAAGAGAGAGAGGGAAGAGAAUAAGUACUAUUCUCUUUUAUCCACGAAUUGUACAUAAAUAAUACUUGAUAACAUAAUUAAGAAAUUGUAUAGAUAAUAUUUACCAUGGAAAAUUACUCAAUUAAGUAUAAUGAUCUAAGGGCGGCGGUGUGGUCUAGUGGUAGAGCGCCAGACUCGUAAUCUGAGGAACCAGGUUCGAGUCCACUAGAGCCAUA